CAAGCCUGAUGCAGCCAUGCCGCGUGUAUGAAGAAGGCCUUCGGGUUGUAAAGUACUUUCAGCGAGGAGGAAGGGGUUGUGGUUAAUAACCGCACUCAUUGACGUUACUCGCAGAAGAAGCACCGGCUAACUCCGUG
rnacentral:rRNA from 1 species